rnacentral:rRNA from 1 species
CCUACGGGAGGCAGCAGUGGGGAAUAUUGCACAAUGGGGGAAACCCUGAUGCAGCAACGCCGCGUGAGUGAUGACGGCCUUCGGGUUGUAAAGCUCUGUCUUCAGGGACGAUAAUGACGGUACCUGAGGAGGAAGCCACGGCUAACUACGUGCCAGCAGCCGCGGUAAUACGUAGGUGGCGAGCGUUGUCCGGAUUUACUGGGCGUAAGGGGAGCGUAGGCGGACUUUUAAGUGAGAUGUGAAAUACUCGGGCUCAACUUGAGUGCUGCAUUUCAAACUGGAAGUCUAGAGUGCAGGAGAGGAGAAUGGAAGUCCGAGUGUAGCGGUGAAAGGCGGAGAGAUUAGGAAGAACACCAGUGGCGAGGGGGAUUCGCUGGACUGUAACUGACGCUGAGGCUCGAAAGCGUGGGGAGCAAACAGGAUUAGAUACCCUAGUAGUC